AUUGAACGCUGGCGGCAUGCCUUACACAUGCAAGUCGAACGGCAGCACGGGUGCUUGCUCCUGGUGGCGAGUGGCGAACGGGUGAGUAAUACAUCGGUACAUGUCCUGUUGUGGGGGAUAGCCCGGCGAAAGCCGGAUUUAUACCGCCUACGAUCUACGGGUGAAAUCGGGGGACCUUCGGGCCUCGCGUUAUAUGGCUAGCCGAUGGCUGAUUAGCUUAUUGGCGGGGUAAAGGCCUACCAAGGCGACGAACAGUAGCUGGUCUGCGGGGACGACCAGGCACCCUGGGACUGAGAAACGGCCCAGACUCCUACGGGAGGCAGCAGUGGGGAAUUUUGGACAAUGGGGGAAAGCCUGACCCAGCAAUGCCGCGUGUGUGAAGAAGGCCUUCGGGUUGUAAAGCACUUUUGUCCGGAAAGAAAUCCUUGGCCCUAAUACGGUCGGGGGAUGACGGUACCGGAAGAAUAAGCACCGGCUAACUACGUG
rnacentral:rRNA from 1 species